rnacentral:rRNA from 1 species
UGAGAUGCAGUGUAUGGAAUGUCAAAUUUCUAGUAUGAGAAAUUAACGAUUUAAGUCCUUCUUAAAUGAGGCCAUUUACCCAUAGAGGGUGCCAGGCCCGUAUAACGUUAAUGAUUACUAGAUGGCAUUUCCAAAGAGUCGUGUUGCUUGAUAGUGCAGCACUAAGUGGGUGGUAAACUCCAUCUAAAACUAAAUAUAACCAUGAGACCGAUAGUAAACAAGUACCGUGAGGGAAAGUUGAAAAGAACUCUGAAUAGAGAGUUAAAUAGUACGUGAAACUGCUUAGAGGUUAAGCCCGAUGAACCUGAAUAUCCAUUAUAGAAAAUUCAUCAUUAUGAUUUUAAUAUUAAUAAUAUUAUAAUAAUGGUGUGCAUUUUUUCUAUAACGGACAUUGUAAUCUAUUAACAUAAAUAUAUUUAUCAUAAGAUCAAUGAUGCGUAAGUUUAUUCAAAUUAUUUUGCUUGCAAUUUAACAUAGAAUAAAUGCUCUUGAUUUGAUAAAGUGUUGAUAGAUUUAUUGUAUAUAGUGCUUAAAUAUUUAUAUUUUAUAAUAGCAUAUUAAUCAUUGAUUUUUAUGUUUAUUAUAUGCACUUAUAUGAUUAACAAUGCGAAAGAUUCAGGAUACCUUCGGGACCCGUCUUGAAACACGGACCAAGGAGUCUAACAUAUUUGCAAGUUAUUGGGUAUCAAAACCUAAUAGCGAAAUUAACAUAACUUUAAUGGGAUUAGUUUUUAGAUUAUUUAUAGUCUAUUAAUUCAAUCCCGGGGCGUUCUAUAUAGUUAUGUAUAAUAAUAUUUAUAUUAUUUAUACCUCUAACUAGAGCGUACCUUGAGCAUAUAUGCUGUGACCCGAAAGAUGGUGAACUAUACUUGAUCAGGUUGAAGUCAGGGGAAACCCUGAUGGAAGACCGAAACAGUUCUGACGUGCAAAUCGAUGUCAGAAUUGAGUAUAG